rnacentral:rRNA from 1 species
UACGGAGGGGUGCAAGCGUUUAAUCGGAAUUACUGGGCGUAAAGCGUGCGCAGGCGGUUUUGUUAAGUCUGUUGUGAAAUCCCCCGAGCUCAACUUGGGGAAUUGCAAUGGAUACUGGCAGGCUGGAGUAUGGUAGAGGAGGUGGAAUUCCCGGUGUAGCAGUGAAAUGCGUAGAGAUCGGGGAGGAACAUCAGUGGCGAAGGCGGCCA